CACAUAUCACUCUGCUGCCAAAACCAGGUAAAGACCCCAAAGAGUGCGGCAGCUACCGCCCAAUCUCGCUCAUUAAUGUAGACUUGAAGAUAUGUACGAAAAUCCUAGCCAUGCGUCUACAACCUAUACUACACACCUUAAUCCACCCUGAUCAAUCUGGUUUCGUCCCUAAACGAGAGGCCAAACAUAACACAACUAAAGUACUGAACCUCACCCAUCUCUCCCGAACCACGCAAGGGAAAAGCCUAC